rnacentral:rRNA from 1 species
AGAAUCGACGCUGGCGGCGUGCCUAACACAUGCAAGUCGCACGAGAAAGGGACUUCGGUCCUGAGUAAAGUGGCGCACGGGUGAGUAACACGUGAAUAAUCUACCUCCGAGUGGGGAAUAACUGAGAGAAAUCUUAGCUAAUACCGCAUAACACUUACGAGUCAAAGCAGCAAUGCGCUUGGAGAGGAGUUCGCGGCCGAUUAGUUAGUUGGCGGGGUAAUGGCCCACCAAGACGAUGAUCGGUA